GUAGGGUGCGAGCAUUGUCCGGAAUUAUUGGGCGUAAAGAGCUCGUAGGCGGCUUGUCGCGUCGGAUGUGAAAGCCCGGGGCUUAACCCCGGGUCUGCAUUCGAUACGGGCAGGCUAGAGUUCGGUAGGGGAGAUCGGAAUUCCUGGUGUAGCGGUGAAAUGCGCAGAUAUCAGGAGGAACACCGGUGGCGAAGGCGGAUCUCUGGGCCGAUACUGACGCUGAGGAGCGAAAGCGUGGGGAGCGAACAGGAUUAGAUACCCUGGUAGUCCACGCCGUAAACGUUGGGAACUAGGUGUGGGCGACAUCCCACGUUGUCCGUGCCGCAGCUAACGCAUUAAGUUCCCCGCCUGGGGAGUACGGCCGCAAGGCUA
rnacentral:rRNA from 1 species